GCGAAAAGAACCCCGGCGAGGGGAGUGAAAAAGAACCUGAAACCGUGUACGUACAAGCAGUAGGAGCCUCUUUAUGGGGUGACUGCGUACCUUUUGUAUAAUGGGUCAGCGACUUAUAUUCUGUAGCGAGGUUAACCGUAUAGGGGAGCCGUAGGGAAACCGAGUCUUAACUGGGCGAAUGAGUUGCAGGGUAUAGACCCGAAACCCGGUGAUCUAUCCAUGGGCAGGUUGAAGGUUGGGUAACACUAACUGGAG
rnacentral:rRNA from 1 species